rnacentral:lncRNA from 1 species
UUUUCGAGAGCCGAAUGCAGAGGUUCCAAGACCAAUUCCCCACAUAGGGCCUGAUUACAUUCCAACAGAGGAAGAAAGGAGAGUCUUCGCAGAAUGCAAUGAUGAAAGCUUCUGGUUCAGAUCUGUGCCUUUGGCUGCAACAAGUAUGUUGAUUACUCAAGGAUUAAUUAGUAAAGGAAUACUUUCAAGUCAUCCCAAAUAUGGUUCCAUCCCUAAACUUAUACUUGCUUGUAUCAUGGGAUACUUUGCUGGAAAACUUUCUUAUGUGAAAACUUGCCAAGAGAAAUUCAAGAAACUUGAAAAUUCCCCCCUUGGAGAAGCUUUACGAUCAGGACAAGCACGACGAUCUUCACCACCUGGGCACUAUUAUCAAAAGUCAAAAUAUGACUCAAGUGUGAGUGGUCAAUCAUCUUUUGUGACAUCCCCAGCAGCAGACAACAUAGAAAUGCUUCCUCAUUAUGAGCCAAUUCCAUUCAGUUCUUCUAUGAAUGAAUCUGCUCCCACUGGUAUUACUGAUCAUAUUGUCCAAGGUAGAAACUUCUCUUGAAAUGAAUUUCAACAUUUUAUGGUCCAACUCAAAGUAAACAAGUAUGGAGAUACUUGGGAUGAGUGAAAAAUUACAUCAUUGGACAUGAAGGAGUUUCAACAUCCAGCUUCAUCUAGGUGGUCAUGAUUACCUGCAUGCUUUGAGCUCAGCAGCAGUCUUCAUAAACACAUUUAAAACAAGAUCCUGGGUUUUUGUGGUUUGACUUCUAUGGUGUUUUAAAAAAACACAGAUUUUUAGUGUUAAUAUUGUGUAAAUGUACUCACCUUAGGGAUUCAUUUGAAUGAUGGUAUUAUACCAUGAUUGUAUACAGUUUGUGAAAUUGUUGCAAGGGCAAAGAUAACUCUUAAAAAACCGUCGAGAUUACAAUGCUCUAGAAUCAGCAUAUAAGAAAAUAAAUGAUAUCUGCAUGUUGAAUUGGGGUGGAUGGGGGGAGCAAGCAUAAUUUUUAAGUGUGAAGCUUUGCAUCAAGAAAUUAUUAAAAAGCUUUUUUUCUCCAGUAUUUUCUGUAUUAUCUUAAUGUUUAUGGCAAAUAAAAUGUAAAGGAACAUGCAAC